AACAGCUGGAACAGUCUGUGCCUCCUAUCCUUCAUUCCACCGGAGUCUGUGUGUCACCAAUCAGAUUUCAGUGGUGUGAAGUGUAAGAGGCAUGGAGGGAG
rnacentral:pre_miRNA from 14 species